rnacentral:rRNA from 1 species
GACGGGUGAGUAACGCGUGGGUAACCUGCCCAUAAGUGGGGAAUAACAGUUGGAAACGACUGCUAAUACCGCAUAAGCUGAGCAAUCAGUAAAGGAGGCUAACGCUUCCGCUUAUGGAUGGGCCCGCGUCUGAUUAGCUAGUUGGAGGGGUAAUGGCCUACCAAGGCAACGAUCAGUAGCCGGCCUGAGAGGGUGGACGGCCACACUGGGACUGAGACACGGCCCAGACUCCUACGGGAGGGCAGCAGUGGGGAAUAUUGCGCAAUGGGGGAAACCCUGACGCAGCGACGCCGCGUGAGCGAAAGAAGGCCUUAGGGUCGUAAAGCUCUGUUUUAAGGGACGAAUAUCCUUAGUAGUAACUGACUAAGGAAUGACGGUACCUUAAGAGAAAGCCCCGGCUAACUACGUGCCAGCAGCCGCGGUAAGACGUAGGGGGCGAGCGUUGUCCGGAAUUACUGGGCGUAAAGAGCACGUAGGCGGGAUUUUAAGUCAGGUGUGAAAGACCGUGGCUCAACCACGGGGUUGCACAUGAAACUGGAAUUCUUGAGGGCAGGAGAGGAAAGUGGAAUUCCUGGUGUAGCGGUGAAAUGCGUAGAAAUCAGGAGGAACACCGGUGGCGAAGGCGACUUUCUGGACUGACCCUGACGCUGAGGUGCGAAAGCGUGGGUAGCAAACAGGAUUAGAUACCCUGGUAGUCCACGCUGUAAACGAUGGAUACUAGGUGUGGGAGGUAUCGACCCCUUCCGUGCCGCAGCAAACGCAAUAAGUAUCCCGCCUGAGAGUACGGUCGCAAGGCUGAAACUCAAGGAAUUGACGUGAACCGCACAA